rnacentral:tRNA from 1 species
GUCACUCUAGCUCAACUGGAAGAGCAGCGGUCUCCAAAACCGCCGGUUGCAGGUUCGAGUCCUGCGGGUGGCG